GGAUUAGAUACCCUGGUAGUCCACGCCGUAAACGAUGAUCACUAGGUGUUUGGGAGUAUUCCUGAGUGCCCAAGGGAAACCGAUAAGUGAUCCACCUGGGGAGUACGUUCGCAAGAAUGAAACUCAAAGGAAUUGACGGGGGCCCGCACAAGCGGUGGAGCAUGUGGUUUAAUUCGAUGAUACGCGAGGAACCUCACCUGGGCUACAAUGCCUUUGCCAUCUGGUGAAAGCCGGAGUUCCUUCGGGACAGAGUGCAAGGUGCUGCAUGGUUGUCGUCAGCUCGUGCCG
rnacentral:rRNA from 1 species